GGGAAGCCUCGCUCCAGCCGCGUCGUUUCCGCGCCGAAGUGCGAUCCGGGGCCCCGCGCUGGAGUCCCCUGCUCUCAGGCUGGUCUGGAAGUUGGUGGUGGGGUUCAGGGUCCCCGGAAAGCUGGGGUUCCAGGGUGGCAGUUGCUGGAGUACCAGGGCACCAAGUGGAGGAUGUGGUAGACAGCCUCUAAGAUGCGCCCCCUGCCAAUGAUCUCUGCCUCCAGGGAGGAGCUAGAAGGCAGAGAGAAAGCCACUCAGGACUUCCCAUCCCAGAAGAUAAAGGUGAGGAAAGCAGCAGCAGCAGCCACAGGCCAGUAUUCCAGAGCAGCUUUGGGUUCCUGUCAAGACCUGCUUUGAGAAGGAGGUGGCUGUGGGGCUGGAGGGCUGGGCCUGUUCCUGAGCUGGCUGCUGGCAGCACAGCAAUGAGGCAACAUUGACAACUGCGACACGAGGCCCAGUCCUGCUACUAAACCAACUGUGUGGACUUGCAUAGUCACUUCACCCCUCGGGCCUCCAUUUCUCCACUUUGGAAAGCAGUGUUGGGACGAUGUUAAGGGUUUGCAACCUUCUAACAUGAAGACUUAUUUUUAAAAGCAAAACAUUUCAAAGAGUCCACAUGACAGUAGUGUUCAUUUUGGCAUCUGUUGAUUUAACAAAUACAAAAUUAGGCUGGGUGUAGUUGCUAACGCCUGUAAUUCCAGCACUUUGGGAGGCCGAGGCAGGAGGAUCACCUGAAAUCAGGAGUUCGAGACCAGCCUGGCCAACAUGGUGGAACUCCAUCACUACCAAAAAUACAAAAAUUAGCUGGGCUUGGUGGCACGUGCCUGUAAUCCCAGCUACUCGGGAGGCUGAGGCAGGAGAAUCAUUUGAACCUGGGAGGCAGAAGUUGCAGUGACCUGAGAUUGCACCACUGCACUCCAGCCUGGGCAACAGGGCAAGACUCCAUUAAAAAAAAAAGUACAAAAUUA